GUCGCCGGCCCGCCGAACUGGAGGCCCGUCCCGAACAGCGUCGUCACGCCCGUCACCACCGACACGAUCGAGAACGUCACCGCGAAGUUGGACACCACCCUGCGACAGCGCAAGCGCGAAAAAAACAAAAGGGAAAGUAACCUGAUGUAUGCUGCUGCUGUUGAUGCUGAGGGAUCGACCUCGGGCAACCACAUUUUGCUGUUAAAUGUGAGGUGCGGCGAUCGAACACGUAGGGAUACAAAUGGUGCACGUAUUUUCUACAAAUCCAGUUAAACUUGCGGCGCGGAAAAAAAACGACAGUCAUUCAGGGACGGAGG